UACGAAGGGGGCUAGCGUUGCUCGGAAUCACUGGGCGUAAAGCGCACGUAGGCGGAUUGUUAAGUCAGGGGUGAAAUCCUGGAGCUCAACUCCAGAACUGCCUUUGAUACUGGCGAUCUUGAGUUCGGGAGAGGUGAGUGGAACUGCGAGUGUAGAGGUGAAAUUCGUAGAUAUUCGCAAGAACACCAGUGGCGAAGGCGGCUCACUGGCCCGAUACUGACGCUGAGGCUCGAAAGCGUGGGGAGCAAACAGG
rnacentral:rRNA from 1 species